GGCUUCCUUCUGUCUGCUGGUCGUGAGCACGAGCUGUGAGGGGAUUCACUUGUGUGCGGAACUCCUCGGAACUAUGGCGUCCCUUUCCCUUGCACCUGUUAACAUCUUCAAGGCAGGAGCUGAUGAAGAGAGAGCAGAGACAGCUCGCCUGACUUCUUUUAUUGGUGCCAUCGCCAUUGGAGACUUGGUAAAGAGCACCUUGGGACCCAAAGGCAUGGACAAAAUUCUUCUAAGCAGUGGACUAGAUGCCUCUCUUGUGGUAACCAAUGAUGGUGCCACUAUUCUAAAAAACAUUGGUGUUGACAAUCCAGCAGCUAAAGUUUUAGUUGAUAUGUCAAGGGUUCAAGAUGAUGAAGUUGGUGAUGGCACUACCUCUGUUACCGUUUUAGCAGCAGAAUUAUUAAGGGAAGCAGAAUCUUUAAUUGCAAAAAAGAUUCAUCCACAGACCAUCAUAGCGGGUUGGAGAGAAGCCACAAAGGCUGCAAGAGAGGCGCUGUUGAGUUCUGCAGUCGAUCAUGGUUCCGAUGAAGUAAAAUUCCGUCAAGAUUUAAUGAAUAUUGCGGGCACGACAUUAUCCUCAAAACUUCUUACUCAUCACAAAGACCACUUUACAAAGUUAGCUGUAGAAGCAGUUCUCAGACUGAAAGGCUCUGGCAACCUCGAGGCAAUUCAUAUUAUCAAGAAGCUAGGAGGAAGUUUGGCAGAUUCCUAUUUAGAUGAAGGCUUUCUGUUGGAUAAAAAAAUUGGAGUAAAUCAACCAAAACGAAUUGAAAAUGCUAAAAUUCUUAUUGCAAAUACUGGUAUGGAUACAGACAAAAUAAAGAUAUUUGGUUCCCGGGUAAGAGUUGAUUCUACAGCAAAGGUUGCAGAAAUAGAACAUGCGGAAAAGGAAAAAAAUGAAGGAGAAAGUUGAACGUAUUCUUAAGCAUGGAAUAAAUUGCUUUAUUAACAGGCAAUUAAUUUAUAAUUAUCCUGAACAGCUUUUUGGUGCUGCUGGUGUCAUGGCUAUUGAGCAUGCAGAUUUUGCUGGUGUAGAACGCCUAGCUCUUGUCACAGGUGGUGAAAUUGCCUCUACCUUUGAUCACCCAGAACUGGUGAAGCUUGGAAGUUGCAAACUUAUCGAGGAAGUCAUGAUUGGAGAAGACAAACUCAUUCACUUUUCUGGGGUUGCCCUUGGUGAGGCUUGUACCAUUGUUUUGCGUGGUGCCACUCAACAAAUUUUAGAUGAAGCAGAAAGAUCUUUGCAUGACGCUCUUUGUGUUCUUGCGCAAACUGUAAAGGACUCUAGAACAGUUUAUGGAGGAGGCUGUUCUGAGAUGUUGAUGGCUCAUGCUGUGACACAGCUUGCCAAUAGAACACCAGCCAAAGAAGCUGUUGCAAUGGAGUCUAACGCUAAAGCACUGAGAAUGUUGCCAACCAUCAUAGCUGACAAUGCAGGCUAUGACAGUGCAGACCUGGUGGCACAGCUCAGGGCUGCUGACAGUGAAGGCAAUACCACUGCUGGACUGGAUAUGAGGGAAGGCACCAUUGGAGAUAUGGCUAUCCUGGGUAUAACAGAAAGUUUUCAGGUGAAGCGACAGGUUCUUCUGAGUGCAGCUGAAGCAGCAGAGGUGAUUCUGCAUGUGGACAACAUCAUCAAAGCAGCACCCAGGAAACGUGUCCCUGAUCACCACCCCUGUUAAGCAUUCCCACAUGCCGUCGAUCUUUGGACCAGUUUCUAGCAAAGUUGUGUUUGAAAGGUAGUCUCUUAAAGAAGACUGUGGAAUCUGUUUAUUGGUGCCCAUUGUAUCCUUAAGUUUGGCUAUUUAGCUGACCUUCUCUUUAACAUAGGUCUAAUUUAUUUGCCAUGUCAUUUUCCAUACAAAUCAGUUGAUUUAAAAGUUCAUUUCUCAUACUGUGCAUUAAAAUAAACAUUUGAACAAUUAAAAA